rnacentral:rRNA from 1 species
GCCUAUUCGUGAAAGAUUUAUCGCCUCUAGAUGAGCUCGCGUCUGAUUAGCUAGUUGGUAGGGUAAAAGCCUACCAAGGCAUCGAUCAGUAGCUGGUCUGAGAGGAUGGCCAGCCACACUGGGACUGAGACACGGCCCAGACUCCUACGGGAGGCAGCAGUGGGGAAUUUUCCGCAAUGGGCGAAAGCCUGACGGAGCAAGACCGCGUGAGGGAAGAAGGCUCUUGGGUCGUAAACCUCUUUUGUCAGGGAAGAACACAAUGACGGUACCUGACGAAUCAGCCUCGGCUAACUCCGUGCCAGCAGCCGCGGUAAUACGGAGGAGGCAAGCGUUAUCCGGAAUUAUUGGGCGUAAAGCGUCCGUAGAUGGUCGCUUCAAGUCUGCUGUCAAAGACCGGGGCUUAACCCCAGAAAGGCAGUGGAAACUGAACAGCUAGAGAGAGGUAGGGGUAGAGGGAAUUCCCAGUGUAGCGGUGAAAUGCGUAGAGAUUGGGAAGAACAUCAGUGGCGAAAGCGCUCUACUGGACCUUAUCUGACAUUGAGGGACGAAAGCUAGGGGAGCGAAUGGGAU